rnacentral:misc_RNA from 1 species
CGCACAUUGCGCCCUCUGGCAUUCCGGGGGGCAUGCCCGUUCGAGCGUCAUAUAACAAACUUCGAGCUCGGCUCGGCAUUGGACUCCGACACACGUCGGUCCCGAAAUGCGACGGCUAUCAAUUAGUAAAUGGGGACUACUGUAGCAGCCGCCGUAGUUAUCGACAAAUAAAUACAGGCGUGCAGUUUGUAAGCCCCUGCCGUGCGCGUUCGCAUCGGUUUUACGGACCGAAUACAAGUUUGACCUCGGAUCGGGUAGGAAUACCCGCUGAACUUAA